UGAAAAUUCAACGGAACACUAUUGCUUCAAGAUAUAAAAUAAAAAAAGGCCAUUCGGCAGCCGAAAUGGAAGGUAGAUUUUCCAAUUAAUCUAUAUAAAAAGUUUCAUACAUACAUAUCUUGUGAUACAUGUUAGUGUAUAGUCAUGAUAUGAAAUUAGGCUCGUUUUCUAAGAGUGAGAGUAAAAAAAGACAACGACUAUUUUCGAUAGAGAACUUCAGAUAGUUGAUUUGACAAAACAUUAUAUAGUGAUUAAAAACUGAUUUUUUCGAAAACUCGUGGAAAUUUCAAACAGCCAUGACUUCACAACUAUUCGAACGAUUCAGCCCAUCUUUGAACUCGAUCAAGAUAAUAGCCUAGAGAAUAAGUGUGGAAAAUUUCAUUAGGAUCCGAUAAGAACUGUAGAUGCUAUCGUAAUGACAAGACCAGUUAUAAUCAUACGUCGUAGAGGUUAUUUUGUGCACAAUAAAAUACAACUGACGAAAUUUGAUUAUAAUGGGAAAUGCAUAAAUGAUGUUGAAUGAAAACCAUAUUUUCAACAUUUUUUGAUUCCAUUAAAAUUUUCAAGGCUAUCAAAUUCAUUGAAGAAAUGGUCAAAACAUCAAGUUUACGGUCAUAAAUUAAAGCUUAUUAGACAAACUUUCAAAUACUUUUUACGAAAAUUAUCUAUGAGUUUUAGUUUUAAAGUUAUAUGAACUUGAAAGUGGAUAAAAUGUUUUUUUUUUUGAAAAAUCGUGGGAAUUUGAAACAGCCAUAUCUUCUAAACUAAUCAAACGAUUUAGCCCAUCUUCGAACUUAACCGUGGUUGUGACAAAAUUCCUUGAAAAAUCGACCAUGAGGACAAAUACAAUACCUAGAUUUUUAAAAAAAUCUACCUAAAAAUGUCGAAAAUAAUUUUUUUGAUAUCAAUUUUCGCAUUGGUUGUUAUCUAUCCUGGUGUAUAUGCAUCAUGUCCUGGCGGUUGGUGCCAUCCAUCAGCAGGAUACGGCUGCUGUAAAGGAAAUUCAUGCACUAGCUAUUUUGUUGAAGGUACAUGUACAACUUUCGAAGAAGCAUUAAGAAAAUCAGUUGAGAAAGAGUAAUAAUUAUUACGGAGAGAAAUUUAUGGUCACCGUUCCUAGUACGCUUGUGAAAUAUCAUCCCAUACCGUUAUGGUUAUGAUUACUUGGAAUUAUGGAAUAUAGGCUCAUACUUUCUGGAAAAAGUUCCCAUCAUUAUGGUAACAGUUCCCAUAUCGCAUGUGAAAGAAUUAUGGUAAUGAUUACCGUACUCAUAUGAAUAGUUCCCAUAAGCAAAUAGGAACCAAUCCUAUAACUGUAUUGUAACGGUUCCUAAGUGCAUAUGGGAAUAAACCCUAUAUAUUAUGGUAACUAUUCCCAUAAUAUUAUGGUAAUCGUUCCCAUUAUACACUAAUGCAAAAAAUUAAAGGAGCAGAAAAAUUUUAUAAAUUUUUUAGUGAUUUUUGGA